CUUCACCAACAGGAAACACUCUGCUGAAGACAAUACGGCAACCUGCCAGAAUCUUUUUUUGUUCUGUCGCUAAGAUGUUCCUAACAUCAGCUUCAUCUAUGGACCGAUGUGUGAAAAAAUUCUGAUGUAUUCUUUGAAUAACCCCCAAACAAGAGGCCAAUGUGCCAUCUUCAGGUCUUUCAUCAUGAUCAAUCUCAAGAAGAGAAGGACCAGGAAGACCAAAUUGCCGUCUACUGCAAGGAAAGUAAAUAUACCUCUCUACAACAAUCAAAUUUAGCUUGUUAUGUGGCCAGACUCUCACAGAAUCAUCUAUAAUAACAACAGCCGACUCCAUGCCCAAAACCCCCUCCAAGUCCUUACUCUUGGGAACCCUUUCAUCCCCAUCAAAUGGAUCUCCAUCGUCACCCCUGGAGAUCACUCGUCCAGCAAACAGAUCACCUUUUGGAUCUAGCAAUUUGGCCAUCUCCGUGGCAUAUAGCUUGUUACCCAUGGUAUAGAGAUGCAGCUCAAAAAGAUUGCUCGCCUUUUCCAAGAAAUUCCAGAUCCCAGGCCGUAACUUGGUCCACAUUCCCAUGUGUGGAAAGCGGAAUAGGUGCCUAUACGGCUUUUCACGGUCUUGUUCCUCUUUCUUCCUCAAUAUCUCUUCAUGAACUGGGUCGAUUUCAACAAACUUUGCUGAAUUCAGAAGAGUAUGGUCCAAGUCCAAGACGAGACAGAGCUUCCGAACAGAAAACAUUUUUUUCUGUUCCUCAAGCCUCCUAGUUCUUUCUCUCUGGAUAUCAGCUCGCUGUUGGUCGCUGUACCCC
rnacentral:misc_RNA from 1 species